ensembl:lncRNA
CCGUAGCCCCCUAGGCUUCCCUGGCUAUGGGAUUCUCCAGGCAAGAAUACUGGGGUGAGUUGCCAUGCCUUUCUCCAAGGAAUCUUCCCGACCCAGGGAUGGAACCUGUGUCUCCUGUAUAUCCUACAUUGCAAGAAGUUCAACCACAGCAAGCAGCCCUGGUUGUUUUGCAGACCUCCUUCAGUCGCAGCACAGGGGCAUUCAGAAGAGUGUCAAGAAUCGUAUCAAGAGCUCUCCUAUACCCUUCAUCCAGUUUCUUGAGUUUUUACCGGUUUUCAGCGUGCGCCACAUCUGAGUGCUCUGUGUCCUGCACGCUCCCUCCCUCCCUCUCUGCACACAGACAUACAUUAAUCUUCUCUGAACCAUUUGAGAGAACUCUGCAGACAUCAUGCCCCUUUACUAGUUCAUUGUGUAUUUUCUGAGACCAAAGCAGCUAUCGAAUUCAGGAAAUUUAAUACUGAUAUAAUACUUUAAUCUACCAUGUUAUGUGAAUUUCAUCCAUUGUCCUAAUAAUAUCCUGCAAAGCAAUUUUGGGUACAUUAUCCUGUCCAAUAACACACUGAUACUUUUUAGAAUAACUAAGACAUCUGUACAUUAUUUUGAAAACAUUUUGUUGUCGUGAAUUUAUUUUUAAUGUCGGAUUUCCAUAAAGUUUCUUCAAAGAUCAACUGACCGAUUCCCCUUAAAG